rnacentral:lncRNA from 1 species
AUGUGGCCCUGGAGUGUGCUGGCUUCCUCACCGGGAUUGGGCUGGACACCACCAUCAUGAUGCGCAGCAUCCCCCUCCGCGGCUUCGACCAGCAAAUGUCCUCCAUGGUCAUAGAGCACAUGGCAUCUCAUGGCACCCGGUUCCUGAGGGGCUGUGCCCCCUCGCGGGUCAGGAGGCUCCCUGAUGGCCAGCUGCAGGUCACCUGGGAGGACAGCACCACCGGCAAGGAGGACACGGGCACCUUUGACACCGUCCUGUGGGCCAUAGGGCUCCCCCAUCCUGCUGGCUGCCAGGCGGGUUGGCCGCUCCCCAGUGCACCUCGAGAGCAACCGUGAAGGCCUGUGGGGCGGCACUCACACUAGGCUGUGCCCAUCUUGCCAUCCCCAGCACCUUGCAUCUCUGCGUGUCUCCCCACCACCGUGGGACAUGCUGGAAAAAACCAGAGAAGAGACUGAGACGGCAUCAGCCAGGUGUCCUCAUCGAGGAUCAACUAGGCAAUCAUCCUCGCCUUCCCUGGCCCUUGAGCAAUUGCUUAUUAAGGUUUCAGCACAUAAAUCCUACUUGUCACCUUC